UUUUAUUUUCUUCUUGUUGCCAAAAAAAAAAAAAAAAUUUACAAAGUUUUCCCAAACAACUCACAUGUGUCAGUAUAUCUCCAGACAGGUCAACGCAAUCACGUUUCCCUCAGUCGAGACGAUCUUUCUGAAAGAAGAUUAUUCUCUGAAGUGGGAAUCCUCCAUAUUUUAAUUGUAGCUAGCUCCUAGAAUCUCUUUUCUGAACUUCUAAUAAAAGGGGGGGGGGGCAUGGGACACCGUUUUAUAGGAAGUGGAGUUCUCUUGUGGCACAGUGGGGUAAGGAUACGGCAUCAUCCCUGCUGUGGCCUGGGUUCGAUCCCUGGCCCAGGAGCUUCCACAUGCUGCGGUUGUGGCCCAAAAAAGGAAAGAAACAGAGUCACUCUAGGAGGACAUGUAGCAAGUAUGGUCAUUAUAGAACAGAAUUUCGUAUUCAGCCUUGGUGCUGAGCAAGGGAAUUGCCGCCUGUGCCCCCACCCCAAGUGUUGAGAUUUCUCUCCUCUGACCUCCCUCAAGGCAGAGAAUAACAAAGAGCAGUCCCGUGUCUGCCUUGUCACACAGCAGGCCUAAAAAGGAGUAUUUGAUUUCGUGGAAAUCAAAAAUACUUGGAUCACAAUGGUGACAGUAGCGCUUUGGUCACUUUCCAAGUCGAGCUUGUCUUCCGGACCCCCACCUCGGCGUGCUUUCGAGGUCGAGCUUCAGGCCAGGUGCUUCGUAAUGGCGAGUGGCAGCCUGUGAAAGCCGCCCUUCGUGGGGGCCGGAAGCUCAAAGUUUUCUAGUCAGAUUUCCCCAUGACCUCAGUUAUGAAGAAAAUGUUGCCGAUUCUGGAAAAUGCUAAUGUCCUUUUUAGCCGUAAGUAUUAUCUUGAUUGCAGUGCUUCAGAAUUGCCCAACUUCAUUAUCUGAGCAUAGCCAGCCUGACGCCUUCUUCUCAAAUAGACAAUUAUGAUCAAUUAAGCACUUUCAGGCCUUAUAGAAUAUUUAAUUUUAUUAGUCAAUUAUUUGUGCUUUGAAAGAGUUAAUGGUAGCUACCCAAGCCAUUAUUAGAAAUUAGAAUGUCCCAAAAUAGAAAGGCUAUUUCCUUUGUGUAUGGCACUGCAGUGGAAAAUGCCAAGCAUAGUUUUUACUGAGUUAAAGGGUGAGGGAGGAUGGGGUGGGGGAGAAAGUUACAUGUAAAUCAUUUAGCCAUUAAUCUAAUGGGUGGAUUUAUAAAUCCUAUUACUAUAAGCCCUUUUCAUUUCCACUGAGGCCUGGUGCAUGCUUGAUCCCACUAAUGUAAAAUUCAUUCCGUCUAAGUGAUUACUGAAGUAAGACACUUUGAGUCAAUUUUCAUCAGGUUUUGCGAAACUUGCCUGAGUGCCGAUGUUCACUGCAGCACGGACAUAGUUUGGCCGUGUCUUAAUUAGCCCCCCAGAUGAGUUAUGUGAGGAGUCAAUCAGGGGACCAAAAUCGUGACGCCUUUUGACAUGACGGUGUUUUUCUGUGAGGGAAAUACACUGAAGGGGCUGAAAAGACCCAGCUCCAAAGCACGAGGCAAAGGCCUGUGGUUGGGGGUGUUUCUAGUCUCAUGGACAUUAUGUGAAUCCCGAGAAAUCUGAAAGCUCUGUUUUUAUGGCUAAUUGGAGCAUCUUCAGUGAUGAAUCAAAAUUUCAAAAUCAGUGAAAUACUUGGACCCUCUUCCUAGAAGAAUACAUAUAGGUACACAUUCAGAAUUUUCCUUAUUGUUUCAGAGAUUUUCAGACUUCUUGACCUUAGGUUACCAUCUCCUGCUCCAGUUUCCGUUUUGUUGUCUUAGAGCCCCCCCCCCCCCAGGAAUUUAAUAUUUCAGAGUGUAGACUCAUACUUGAACUGUUGUGUUGGUGAGUAGCAUGGGCUCAAGUGCACUUUAAAGCCAGCCCUCCAAGCUCUUGUGUCACAUAGAGUCCCACCUAUGGCAAUAGUUCACCCGUGUUCACGUGAAACAUACAAGAUGUGAGGUAUUCUCUAAACUGGGGGUUUAGAGAAUAGAGAGAGGAGGAGGAAUAGAGAAUAAGAAUAUUGUGGAAGGAAGGUUUCUUUAAAGAUGAAAACAGAGUUGUUUUGUUUUUGAAGACAGUUUUUUUCGAAGAGCGUAAUGUGGAUUUUUAAAGAUCCACAAAAUGAAUAAGUAUUUGGGGGGAAGAAAUCAGAAGACAAGGGAGAAGUUCACUUUUCCUUUCACAUAGUCAGAGCCAUAGUUUGUGGGUUUUAAAGUUUUUAGAUCAACAUUGGGGCCCUGUCAGAUUUUAGGGUAGUAAUUGAAAGAUACUCAUAAAUAUCAUUAGAUGCGUCUGUUGGGGAGGAGAAACCUUUCAGAAAGCCUUGUUUAUUCAACGUGUUUUAUAUUCCUUACACAUGAGCUAUCAGAAGGUUAGGUUGUAAAUUAAAGAUUUAAAACAAAAUCAGUUUAUCUAGAAACAAGAGUUGUAUGGGAGAGGUACACUUUCAGUCAAGUUUAUAAUUAACGGGCCUUUAUCACUGGGGUAGAAAUUCAUUUCUCUUGAGUGAAUAUUUGUUUAUCUAACAUACAUUGUGUUUGAAGGUGGGAUUAAAACUGAUGUGCUCUUCAUUUCUUGCUUGGAAAGAGCUAGCAUUUAAAUGCGUGCUGUGUGUGGGUUUAAUUGCUGCUUUUUGCAGCCAGCCCUAGGGUCCUGUUGUUGUGGAGAUGCAGUUAUCAAUCCAUGGCUUUGCUUUUCUCACGCUGGACCACUUGGGUUUGCCUCCUUUUACUAGAACCUGAGAGAUAAAUAUGCAUUGAAUUACUGCUGUAUGUAAGGCAUUGUGAUAGGUUUAAUGGCAAAAACAGGAUCUCUGCUUCUAAUUUGCUUAGAGUUUCUUAAUCUUACUUUUUCUAAUAGAGUUUCGUGUUGUGGUAUGGUAUACACAAAAUAAUUUGGGGGCUACAUUGGACUCAUAUACUCAGUGGUAUCAUUGGAGUGGGGAGGCCAGAGAGGCUUUUCUGGUGGUGGUAAGUUCCUUGUAAAAUCGUGAUAAUUCCUAAUACUUAUUGAGCACUUAGGUAUCAGAGACUGUACAAAAUAAUUUACAUAUGUUAUUUCAUUUAAUGCUCACAGUAGCUGGUUUGUAAGGAAGCUGUAGUUACUCUCUCCAUUUUACAGUCAAGGAGUUGGGGGCUUAUAGAGCUUUUAUUGUGUGCCUAAGGUGGUGCAGCUUAGAAGGAAUGCUUUUAGGCUUUGAACUUGGGCAGCCUGUAUUAGUCAAGAGUUCUCCAGAGAAGCAGAACAAGAGAGAGAGGGAGAGAGGGGGAGAGAGAGUGGUGGGGGGUAAGGGGGAAGAGGGAAAGGUGGGGGUUGACUGAUUUCAGGGAAUUGACUCAUACGAUUGUGGGGGCUGGCAAAUCUGAAAUCUGCAGGGCAUGUCAGCAAGCUGGAGAGUCAAACAUACUGGAAUGAGUUGAUAUUUAACAAGGAAGAGUUGAGCUUCAGUUUCAGUCCAGAGGCAGUCUACAGCAGAGUUUCUUCUUCCUAGGGGCCCUUCGGUCUUUUUCUUUUAAGGCCUUCAACUGAUUUGAUGAGACCCACCCAACAUGAUGGUGGGUUUUCUGCUUUACUCUGUCUACUGUUUUAACCACUUGUGCGAAAGCAAGAACAGAGUGUGGCUUGUUCAGUAUACUCAGAAUAUUUCAGGGAGGCUAGACUGAAGGAUGCGUGUAGGAAGCAUUAGAAGAUGAAGUGGGCCUCAACUAGAUCGUGAGUCUCAGGUCAAGCUAAGGGGUUUGAAUUUCAUUGCAGAGACUACCUGUUAGAAGGAACACUGGCCAAGCAUCAGGAAUGGCUUGGAAGGUAGUGAGGUUGGAGACAGGUAGGCUGCGUGAGUGAUGAGGGCCUGGAGGCAGGAUAGCACUAUGGCAAGAGAUGCCCCACUGGAGAGUGUGAUGUGGGACUAUUGGCCCUUUGUUUUAGUUGAAGGCUCUUGGAGGGGCCAUUUAUUAUGUUUGGAGCUAAUGAAGGUUCGGGGGAGAUGGUGGAGAUUUAGAAUGAAUGCUUGUGGGACAGGUAGUUGGUUAUGGGCCCGGAGCGAGAACAUACUGAGUCAUCAGUAUAAUAUCACUGAUUCUCAACCAGGGGCAAUUAUGCUGCCCAGGGAUCAUUUGGCACUAUCUGGAAACAAUGCUGGUUGUCACAGCUAGAGAGUAUAUGUAUGUCUGUGCACACGCGUGAGUAAGUGUGCCUGCUACUGGCAUCCAGUGGGUAGACGCCACACACAGUCCCCCAUGACGAAGAAUCAUCUGGCCUAAAUGUUAUUGGUGCUGAAGAAGAGAAACACUGAUGUGUGUGUAUAUGUAUGUAGAUGUGUAUGUAUUCUCCCCGGUGGGCAGUAGCAGGGAGCAGGGGCAUCUCAAAGCAAGGUGGCACAGGUUUUGAUGUACUGUAAAUACGCCCAGCCACUUCAGUUAAGUGCAUCAAGUAGUAUGCAGACAACUUAUGAGAGCUUAUGUAUUUCUAGGUAUUUUACAACCACGUAGCCUUCAAAAGCAACCUAGAAUAUGGAAAUAUAUUCUUGUAAUGCUAGUUGUCUUUGUUGGAUAUAUUAGUGUCUCAUUUUCCUAACACUCAAGAAAUGAACAUGGUACAAAGUCAAAGCAACCAGAUGUAAGGGAGAGAUACAGCUCCUUGUCAAACUUGGAUUCUGGACUUUGAGAUAUGGGAGGAAUCCCAACCUCUUAAUUUUGUAAAUGAGGAUGCUAAGACCCAGAGAGGGGAACCAACUUGUUCACAGAUCACUUAGCUAGUAAUUGGCAAUUUAAACCAGUACUCAGAUUUCAGACCCUUGACUUUUUUUUUUUGAACUCGUAUAACGUUUUAUCUUUGCAAAGCAUGUUUUCAGCAUACACUUCUUAUUGCCACCUAGCUCCAGGAACUAGGUGGUCAUAUUAUCCCAGUUUUAAAGAAGGUAAAGCAAAGGUGUAAAGGCAGUAGGGAGUCCAGCAUCACGGGAAUAGUGGAGACAGAGUGUAGGGUGCUUGUUAAGUCCAUAGCCCUUGUUCCUUGAGCAUUUUAUAGAGAAGACAAACAUCAAAGAAUAGUGGAGACUAGGAAAGUAGGAAAAAGGCAAUCUAAUGUAAUUAAGAGGAAAUAAAAGAUUUUGCCAAGUGGGAGAACUGAGUAACACUGAGUCCUGCUUGGAAACUAUGGGAACUGGGAAUAGGGAAAGCUUAGAUAAUGGUUGGAUUACCAAAUAUCAUAAUAUUUAUAUUUCUUCUGCUUUUCUUUUCCCUUUCCUUCAAAACCAUUCAUUUUGCUACCCCUAUUAUGCUAAUGUAUUUUUAAAAAAACUUUCCAGUUUAUUUCUAAUUUUAUGUCAUUAGUAACAGAAGAAUCCUAAAGCCAUUUGAGAUUUCACUUGUCAUUCUGUUCAAGUGUUACUUGUUGCAAAUUUGACCUUACCCAGCAUUUUCUUAACUUAGAAGAUUUCCGUAUUGUUUAGUUUCUACAUCAGAGAGCAAAUCGGGUUUCUUGUUAGUGGAUAUUACUACAGUAAAUGUAUGCUUUUGGAAUAGGAGCUUGAAACUUGUUAACUGAGAAAGUUGGUGUUUUCCCUCUCUCUCUCUCUCAUUUAGUAUUAAUAAGCACUGUUUUAGUGUGUAAUAGCAUCUAAAGACAUUUUGUAACCUUUGAAUGAAUGCUUGACAUGGCACUAGCAUUCUGUUCU
rnacentral:lncRNA from 1 species